rnacentral:rRNA from 1 species
GUCUAUGGCCAUACCACCCUAAAUGUGCCCGAUCUCGUCUGAUCUCAGAAGCUAAGCAGGGUCGGGCCUGGUUAGUACUUGGAUGGGAGACAUUUUGUACAUAGUUAAGGGAGCCUUAAAAA